UGGGGAAUCUUCCGCAAUGGGGGCGCAAGCCUGACGGAGCAACGCCGCGUGAGUGAAGAAGGUUUUCGGAUCGUAAAGCUCUGUUGAGAGGGACGAGAGAUAUAAUCAGGAAAUGGGUUAUAGAGGACGGUACCUUUCGAGGAAGCCACGGCUAACUACGUGCCAGCAGCCGCGGUAAUACGUAGGUGGCGAGCGUUGUCCGGAAUUAUUGGGCGUAAAGGGAGCGCAGGUGGGAAAGUAAGUCAGUCUUAAAAGUUCGGGGCUCAACCCCGUGAUGGGAUUGAAACUACUUUUCUUGAGUGCAGGAGAGGAAAGCGGAAUUCCUAGUGUAGCGGUGAAAUGCGUAGAUAUUAGGAGGAACACCAGUGGCGAA
rnacentral:rRNA from 1 species